GGGGGUGUGGCUCAGUGGCAAGAGCAUAGCGAACUUGCAUUCUGAGCUUUUAUACCUAAAAAUCUACUCAGCGAUGCUCAGUUCCUAAAGUCAUAGGUUCGAAUCCCAUCUCUCCCA